CACGUAGGGCGCAAGCGUUGUCCGGAAUACUGGGCGUAAAGCGUGCGCAGGCGGUUUUGUAAGUCAGAUGUGAAAUCCCCGGGCUUAACCUGGGACUGCGUUUGAAACUACAAGGCUAGAGUGUGGCAGAGGGGGGUGGAAUUCCACGUGUAGCAGUGAAAUGCGUAGAGAUGUGGAGGAACACCGAUGGCGAAGGCAGCCCCCUGGGUUAACACUGACGCUCAGGCACGAAAGCGUGGGGAGCAAACAGG
rnacentral:rRNA from 1 species